GAUUAACGCUAGCGGCAGGCAUAAUACAUGCAAGUUGAACGGGAUUAGUUUAGCAAUAGACUAUGAGAGUGGCGCACGGGUGCGUUACACGUAUGCAACCUGCCCUUGACUGGAGAAUAGCCUCUCGAAAGAGAGAUUAAUGUUCCAUAACAUAAUGAUAGAGCAUUCUAUUAUUAUCAAAGCUCCGGCGGUCAAGGAUGGGCAUGCGGUUGAUUAGCUAGUUGGUGAGGUAACGGCUCACCAAGGCGACGAUCAAUAGGGGGUCUGAGAGGAUGUCCCCCCACACUGGUACUGAGACACGGACCAGACUCCUACGGGAGGCAGCAGUAGGGAAUAUUGGUCAAUGGAGGCAACUCUGAACCAGCCAUGCCGCGUGCAGGAAGACUGCCCUAUGGGCUGUAAACUGCUUUUGUACGGGAAGAAACCUUCGAAUGCGUUCGAAGUUGACGGUACCGUGAGAAUAAGGAUCGGCUAACUUCGUGCCAGCCGCCGCAGUAAAAC
rnacentral:rRNA from 1 species